UACGUAGGGGGCAAGCGUUGUCCGGAAUUAUUGGGCGUAAAGCGCGUGUAGGCGGCCAGAAAAGUCCGCUGUGAAAACUCGAGGCUCAACUUCGAGCUGUCGGUGGAAACUUUCUGGCUAGAGUCCGGAAGAGGAGAAUGGAAUUCCUGGUGUAGCGGUGAAAUGCGUAGAUAUCAGGAGGAACACCUGCGGUGUAGACGGCUUACUGGACCAUAACUGACGCUGAGGCACGAAAGCGUGGGUAGCAAACAGG
rnacentral:rRNA from 1 species